CGCGUGUAUGUGAGUCUCUAAAGCUGUUCCCCAUGCACUCAGCUUUGCCUUCAACCAAAAGAAGGUUCACUGUUUUGAAGGGAGGGUCCGUGAGACGUUUUAACACCUACAGUACUUGCCAUUGGCACCUCAUAAGAUGAGAACAUCUGAGACAUAGUUGACAUUAAAUGAAACGCAACCGAGAUCUCUAUCAAGUCUCCUAAGCGACUUCUGAACAACUGAAACAGGCAUGCAUUAGAGCAUUAUGAUGCAACUUCCAUGAUAUUAUAUGAAGUCACUUCCUCUGCACUUGGAAUUGAACCCAACGUCUAAAAACUUGAAUUUCUAUAAAAGCGACUUGUUGGAUAUUCUGAGCAACUUGAUAAAUGUUUAUCCUAAACCUGUAUAGGUUCUCCUGCGGUGCGGCUGCAAGUCCUUUUGGGGCUGUGAAUGACAAAGGUCACUGGUUUUUAUUACCCCCCUCAUUAAAUUGCACCCUGGCCUUGUAACACAGUCUACAAAUGGAAGCAGAACAAAUGGACGACAUUGUGCACAGAGCAAAGUUCUGCUGGUACGAAUUGGAUUCUCUGUUGAUGAGUGAUUUGUUGUCAUUGCCUGUGGCCGAUCAUUUACAUUUGCUACGAGCAACAAAAAUCCAUAUGAAGUACAGACACUAUGCAGAUUAUAUACGCUUUCACUCGCUGUACAAACAGACAAUGAAUACACGACUUACAGCUUUUCACAAGUUGAGAAUCAACACACAAAGCUGCAACAAGGUUUACAUUUACAAACAUUUGUCACGAUAAAAUAAAAAAAAUUGUUACCACUAAAAUCAGUAUCUUAUCACGGCUGGGUUUCCCGAUAACGAUUGAACUUAGCUCUUAAGAGCGCUUUCUACGAGCUACUUGACGAACAUUCAUUGUUCAUUUACAUGCGUUUCCCAAAGAUGCACUUAUAACGAUCACUCGCAGCUGAGUUUUAAGUGCUACUUACGAGUCGCUAUCCGUUUGUCAAGUGCUGAAAUGUCACCAAUAGAAUGACUCAAAUUUGUAGCACAAGCUUGUUUUUAGGCUAAUGAUCUUUAGCCGAUGUGCACUAAUAUUUUUUAUAAUAUUUUUUAUUAUUGUUCAAUGACUUUUUAAAUGUUUUAAAAUUGUUCAUAAUGAAAUAUUCUUUUCUGUAUUUAGUUAGGACUCGUCCCACUCCGAAAUGCCUUCUGCAUUUUAUAUUAUAGCUUAGAUUAUUAUUAAUAUUUGUUGUUUAUUAUCUAUGUUUAUUUAUUAUUAGGGAUUAUUGCAUUGUAGCGUAAAUAUUUAUUUGGUUUCUUUAAUCAGAUGCCAUACCCUUCAAAAAAAAUUUUUACUGUAGCCUAGAUGAAUUAUAGCAGCAAUUGGUAGGAACCAUUUAUCAAUUUGCUGGUACCAACUUUUUCCAAAAUUGUACCAAAUACGUUUUCCUUCUUUAUUAAUUUAUGCUUAGUCAUUUAAAUUUUAUUUCUUAUUUGAAUUUUAAAUAUAUUUUAUUUAAGUAAUUUGAACAAAUAAACAAAGAAAACCCCAAUAAAUAA